UUUAUCUGCCAGGGCUCGAACCUGGGACCUUCCGCGUGUUAGGCGGAUGUAAUAACCACUACACCACAGAAAUAA
rnacentral:tRNA from 1 species